AUUAUCAAGAAGACAAUAUAAGUAUUUAACGCUAAAGUACAGCCGGGUUAAUUGUACCACGCCCAGGCUUCAUCGUACCUAAACGCGAAUGCUGAACGUGGAUAUAAAUUGAAUUCACCUCACUGUAAAACGUUAAUGAUGAAGUUCACCCAACUCCAGUUCAGCAUGCAGUGCCAGGUGUGCUGAAGUUCUGCAGUGCCUCGGCCAGCCUGUGCCGUGCCGCUGAGUAGCGGCGCGUGAUCUGCUGCAUGUGUUCCUCCUCCUCUCUCUGUAGGAUGCGCAGGAAGUUCCGCAGCUCAGGUGCUGCAACACUAUGCAGUUGAAUACUUCAGGUUGCCUUGGACACAGCAUCAUAAUGUGAACACGUACACAGUGCCUGUGCGUCAGAUCUG